AUAGAAAAACACAAUUUGGUAUAGAAUCCAAACAGUAAAUUUGCACUAACGGUUGUGGUUACUUCAUCUCAAAGAGUUGAUUCUUUGUUGAACAGUAUGAAAUCCAAAGCUCAUGACUGUAAAUAACAGUUUGCUCAAUGCAUAUCAAUAGGUAACAGUAUGUUAUGGAGUCCAGGCUAUGUUCAAUUAUAUACGAAUUAGAACUGGUAGACUGUGAGAUCACACUAUAUCAAAUGGUCGAUUCCAUGUCUCACAAGCACACUCAUACUUGCACAUUUCACUCUAUAUAACAUUUUUGAAACCUUCUGACAAAUAGUUGCGUGCCUUUGUAUUUGUGAGAAAAGUCCCUUUCCAAAUGUUACGCAUCUUUCGCUAACCUCAUCGCCGUGCGCGUGCCUAACGUCGACCAAACAAUUCGAGACGAACCUCACAACGGCAUCCGCAAACCGUGCAAAUCCCGACGGAAAAUCCGCCUCAUCCGGAGGAAAACAACAAAACGAGUCGUAUUAUUGAAGGUGACUGAUCCAGAAAAAAACGAGAGCGAGAAGUCCGCAUCGACGACAUUGGCAGGAUCAAUGCAACGAAAAAGCAGCCCUCGGAGCCAGUGACGGAACCCGCAGAAAUCGGAAAACAGCCAGGACAGGAGCCCCGCACUCAGCUGCACUGGACGGAGACACCAAGAAACAAAAACAACAAAUCAUUCGGCUGCCAAUCUUGACGGAAUAACAAAGGUUGUGGGAAACUCAGUAUUCGGACUAUUGACAACGAUGACCCGCGUCCCGCCGAUGUGGUAGCCGACCAGCAACCCAACGUCACCACCGUCAACCCGGAGUCAAACAACCUAUGGAAUCUGGACCAGCUGUCGAAUCCCUCCACUGAAUCGACCGUCGAAUCGACUAUGGAGGUCAACACCAUCGGCCAACUGCAGGCGGCCGCCCCGGUCCGCCCACCACGGCCACGACCACGACGACGGCUCACAGCUGCAACCCCACCACCAUCAGCCCACGAUGCUCGAAACAGCACUGCCAAGCUACAACCGCUGCGGCCCCACGGGUUGGACCGGUUGGACGCAAUCCAGCCCGGCUACCCCUUGCCUCGAACAAACAACAACCAGCAGCAAACCCACCUACACCAACGCAUCAAGUGAGAACAUAUCACUGAGCCAUCGCAGGAACCAACCAAAUCAUCGGACGCCAGUACGAGCAUAGAGUACGCGUCCGGAGUGAACGCCCGGAUGCAGUGGGUCCCCACGAAGAACGCCGAUCCCGAGAAGAGCAUCAUUCGACGGAAACCCAGCAGCCGGUGAACUAAACCACGUCACGCCUGGCCAUGAAGAAAGUCCAUAAGGGUACGUUCAAAAAUUACGUCCAACAUUUGGUUCUAGAAAAGUGACAGUACGUGUAUUAGGUAUAGGAAAAUAGCCAGGCGCGUAGCUACAGCGCAUUUGGCCCCUCAGCUCCAAUGUCAGGCACGCUGGCUGUAGUACAUGGCAAGCGAGCAAGACAUUGGAGCUGAGGGGCCGAAUGCGCUGUAGUUACGCGCAUGAAAAUAGCGUGACAGAGGGGGGACGGGGGGUCUAGAAAUCCCAAAAAAAUGAUGGACGUAAUAUUUGAAUCUUCUUUAAAGCAAAUGGCACAAAGUGCGCACAAGACUUGAGAAAUGAAUAAUCGAUUGCAAAAAAUGUUACAUAUGUUUAAAUUAUACAAGUUUAAUACAAAUUACACUACUCAGAUAAAUA